rnacentral:pre_miRNA from 1 species
AGAGGAAUGGCUGGAUCAUAUGGUAAGUAUAUGUUCAAUUUUUUAAAGAAACUGCCAAACUGUUUUCCAAGGUGGUUGCACCAUUUUGCAUUUCCACUAGCAGU